rnacentral:rRNA from 1 species
GUAAACGAUGAGUGNUAGGUGUUAGGCCCUUUCCGGGGCUUAGUGCCGCAGCUAACGCAUUAAGCACUCCGCCUGGGGAGUACGACCGCAAGGUUGGAACUCAAAGGAAUUGACGGGGGCCCGCACAAGCGGUGGAGCAUGUGGUUUAAUUCGAAGCAACGCGAAGAACCUUACCAGGUCUUGACAUCCCUCUGAUCGCUCUAGAGAUAGAGUUUUCCUUCGGGACAGAGGUGACAGGUGGUGCAUGGUUGUCGUCAGCUCGUGUCGUGAGAUGUUGGGNUNNNNNNNNNCAACGAGCGCAACCCCUAUUGUUAGUUGCCAUCAUUCAGUUGGGCACUCUAGCGAGACUGCCGGUAAUAAACCGGAGGAAGGUGGGGAUGACGUCAAAUCAUCAUGCCCCUUAUGACCUGGGCUACACACGUGCUACAAUGGCUGGUACAACGAGUCGCAAGCCGGUGACGGCAAGCUAAUCUCUGAAAGCCAGUCUCAGUUCGGAUUGUAGGCUGCAACUCGCCUACAUGAAGUCGGAAUCGCUAGUAAUCGCGGAUCAGCACGCCGCGGUGAAUACGUUCCCGGGCCU